rnacentral:rRNA from 1 species
GAUGAACGCUAGCUACAGGCUUAACACAUGCAAGUCGAGGGGAAACGACAUCGAAAGCUUGCUUUUGGUGGGCGUCGACCGGCGCACGGGUGAGUAACGCGUAUCCAACCUGCCCACCACUUGGGGAUAACCUUGCGAAAGUAAGACUAAUACCCAAUGAUAUCCCACGAAGGCAUCGGAAUGGGAUUAAAGAUUUAUCGGUGAUGGAUGGGGAUGCGUCUGAUUAGCUUGUUGGCGGGGUAACGGCCCACCAAGGCAACGAUCAGUAGGGGUUCUGAGAGGAAGGUCCCCCACAUUGGAACUGAGACACGGUCCAAACUCCUACGGGAGGCAGCAGUGAGGAAUAUUGGUCAAUGGGGCGAGAGCCUGAACCAGCCAAGUAGCGUGCAGGACGACGGCCCUAUGGGUUGUAAACUGCUUUUAUAAGGGAAUAAAGUAGGGUCACGUGUGACUUUUUGCAUGUACCUUAUGAAUAAGGACCGGCGUAAUUCCGUG